rnacentral:rRNA from 1 species
AUUGAACGCUGGCGGAAUGCUUUACACAUGCAAGUCGAACGAUAAAGCCUAGCUUGCUAGGUCGAUUAGUGGCGAACGGGUGAGUAAUAUACCGGAACGUAUCCAAUAAUGGGGGAUAACUAGUCGAAAGAUUGGCUAAUACCGCAUACGUCCUACGGGAGAAAGCUGGGGAUCGUAAGACCUGGCGUUAAUGGAGCGGCCGAUAUCUGAUUAGCUAGUUGGUGAGGUAAAGGCUCACCAAGGCGACGAUCAGUAGCUGGGCUGAGAGGACGAACAGACGAACUGGAACGAGGACACGGUCCAGACUCCGACGGGAGGCAGCAGUGGGGAAUUUUGGACAAUGGGCGAAAGCCUGAGCCAGCCAUUCCGCGUGAGUGAAGAAGGCCUUCGGGUUGUAAAGCUCUUUCGCAAGGGAAGAACACUUACUUAAUAACACUAAGUGAGGUUGACGGUACCUUGAUAAGAAGCACCGGCUAACUACGUGCCAGCCGCCGCAGUAAUAC